UCCGACAAAGCCAAACCCUUCGCGAGGAGGGGGCGGAAAGCGGCGGGUCUUCGCGACGAAGAUGGCCGAGCUGCCGAGG
rfam:Geobacter uraniireducens Rf4, complete genome.